GCCCAGGUGGUGGAAUUGGCAGACACGCAGGUCUCAGAAGCCUGUGCCUCGCGGCGUGCGGGUUCGACUCCCGCCUUGGGCACCA
rnacentral:tRNA from 1 species